AGUGUCUCCAGCUUACCGGGACCACGUUAUGUGCCUAAGGACAUCUAGCCAAGGGGCUCAUGAAACCCCUAGACUCCCACCUCCACAGACUAUUUGUAUUAUAUGAAGGUUGGACCAGCCCUGAGAGGAAGCUGUAGUAUCUUUUAACGGAUCCAUCCAUCUCAGAGGUGUACCGUUGCAGUGGACGUUGGAUGUUCCUGCUCAAAAGAUGCUGGGAAGGGCCAGCUGGAGGUCAGCUAUCCAGUAAAUAUAGGAACACCACCUGCAGACAGCCUCACCCGGGCUGCACCACACCAUGGGAGGUCACAUCACCGGAGGUGUUCACGUGCAUUCCCACAAGGCCUGCGGAUCUCCAUCGCUGUAUCAUUCACUGACUAUACUGUUUGUGGCUUUGGGCCUGAAGUUCCUCCGGGCCUCAUCUUUACAUACCUGAAUCAAAUCCAGUGUUGGGUCACAUGAGGCAGAUGGGGCACUGACUUUCUAAUGAACUCUUGAAUGUAGCCUUGGAUGUCUUCAAGAGAAGCAAAGCCACCAAGAAGUGUGACAGUGAUGUGAAGGACCCAGCACCUUAUUUAUGAUCCCGAACAUCUACUAGACAUCACACACUCAUCUGGGACAAGAAACUGUCCCAACAAAAUGCUUUGUUCCUGACUAGAAUAGAAUACUCUUUAAUAGCACCAGGUAUUUUAUAGGGAACAAAAUCUAUAACUGACAUGGGA